AGAGUUUGAUUCUGGCUCAGAACGAACGCUGGCGGCGUGUUUAAGACAUGCAAGUCGCACGGGACUAUUUGAGUAGCAAUACAAGAAUAGUCUAGUGGCGCACGGGUGAGUAACACGUGAAUUACAUGCCCUGCAGAGGGGGAUAGCCCAGGGAAACUUGGAUUAAUACCCCAUGGUAUCGCAAGAUUAAAGGUGGCCGCAAGGCUGUCGCUGCAGGAUUGGUUCGCGCCCUAUCAGCUUGUUGGUGAGGUAACGGCUCACCAAGGCUACGACGGGUACCUGGUCUGAGAGGACGAUCAGGCACACUGGAACUGAGACACGGUCCAGACACCUACGGGUGGCAGCAGUCGAGAAUAAUUCACAAUGGGGGCAACCCUGAUGGUGCAACGCCGCGUGGAGGAUGAAGGUCUUCGGAUUGUAAACUCCUGUCAUCCGGGAGUAAGACCUGGCGAUGAAUAGUCGACAGGGUUGAUAGUACCGGAAGAGGAAGGGACGGCUAACUUCGUGCCAGCAGCCGCGGUAAUACGAAGGUCCCGAGCGUUGUUCGGAAUCACUGGGCGUAAAGGGAGCGUAGGCGGCGUGGUAAGUCAGAUGUGAAAUCCCGGGGCUCAACCCCGGAACUGCAUCCGAUACUGCCGUGCUAGAGGAUUGGAGAGGUAGCUGGAAUUCACGGUGUAGCAGUGAAAUGCGUAGAUAUCGUGAGGAACACUCGUGGCGAAAGCGAGCUACUGGACAACUCCUGACGCUGAGGCUCGAAGGCCAGGGUAGCGAAAGGGAUUAGAUACCCCUGUAGUCCUGGCAGUAAACGGUGCACGCUUGGUGUGAGGGGAAUCGACCCCCCUUGUGCCGGAGCUAACGCGUUAAGCGUGCCGCCUGGGAAGUACGGUCGCAAGACUAAAACUCAAAGAAAUUGACGGGGACCCGCACAAGCGGUGGAGUAUGUGGCUUAAUUCGAUGCAACGCGAAGAACCUUACCAAGGCUUGACAUGCAUCUCUAAGCGCGUGAAAGCGCGUGACCCUUCGGGGGAUUUGCACAGGUGCUGCAUGGCCGUCGUCAGCUCGUGUCGUGAGAUGUUGGGUUAAGUCCCGCAACGAGCGCAACCCUUGUGAUUAGUUGCCAGCGGGUAAUGCCGGGAACUCUAAUCAGACUGCCCAGAUCAACUGGGAGGAAGGUGGGGACGACGUCAGGUCAGUAUGGCCCUUACGCCUU
rnacentral:rRNA from 1 species